rnacentral:rRNA from 1 species
UACGUAGGGGGCAAGCGUUGUCCGGAUUUAUUGGGCGUAAAGCGCGCGCAGGCGGUCCUUUAAGUCUGAUGUGAAAUCUUGCGGCUCAACCGCAAGCGGUCAUUGGAAACUGGGGGACUUGAGUACAGAAGAGGAAAGCGGAAUUCCACGUGUAGCGGUGAAAUGCGUAGAGAUGUGGAGGAACACCAGUGGCGAAGGCGGCUUUCUGGUCUGUAACUGACGCUGAGGCGCGAAAGCGUGGGGAGCAAACAGG